GAUGAACGCUGGCGGCGUGCCUAAUACAUGCAAGUCGAGCGAACGGACGAGAAGCUUGCUUCUCUGAUGUUAGCGGCGGACGGGUGAGUAACACGUGGAUAACCUACCUAUAAGACUGGGAUAACUUCGGGAAACCGGAGCUAAUACCGGAUAAUAUUUUGAACCGCAUGGUUCAAAAGUGAAAGACGGUCUUGCUGUCACUUAUAGAUGGAUCCGCGCUGCAUUAGCUAGUUGGUAAGGUAACGGCUUACCAAGGCAACGAUGCAUAGCCGACCUGAGAGGGUGAUCGGCCACACUGGAACUGAGACACGGUCCAGACUCCUACGGGAGGCAGCAGUAGGAAAUCUUCCGCGAUGGGCGAAAGCCUGACGGAGCAACGCCGCGUGAGUGAUGAAGGUCUUCGGAUCGUAAAACUCUGUUAUUAGGGAAGAACAUAUGUGUAAGUAACUGUGCACAUCUUGACGGUACCUAAUCAGAAAGCCACGGCUAACUACG
rnacentral:rRNA from 1 species